UGGGGAAUAUUGGACAAUGGGCGAAAGCCUGAUCCAGCCAUGCCGCGUGUGUGAAGAAGGUCUUCGGAUUGUAAAGCACUUUAAGUUGGGAGGAAGGGCAUUAACCUAAUACGUUAGUGUUUUGACGUUACCGACAGAAUAAGCACCGGCUAACUUCGUGCCAGCAGCCGCGGUAAUACGAAGGGUGCAAGCGUUAAUCGGAAUUACUGGGCGUAAAGCGCGCGUAGGUGGUUCGUUAAGUUGGAUGUGAAAGCCCCCGGGCUCAACCUGGGAAACUGCAUCCAAAAACUGGCGAGCUAGAGUACGGUAGAGGGUGGUGGAAUUUCCUGUGUAGCGGUGAAAUGCGUAGAUAUAGGAAGGAACACCAGUGGCGAAGGCGACCACCUGGACUGAUACUGACACUGAGGUGCGAAAGCGUGGGGAGCAAAACAGGAUUAGAUACCCUGGUAGUCCACGCCGUAAACGAUGUCAACUAGCCGUUGGGUUCCUUGAGAACUUAGUGGCGCAGCUAACGCAUUAAGUUGACCGCCUGGGGAGUACGGCCGCAAGGUUAAAACUUAAAGGGAAUUGACGGGGUCAUGGCUGUUUCCUG
rnacentral:rRNA from 1 species